rnacentral:rRNA from 1 species
CCUACGGGAGGCAGCAGUAAGGAAUAUUGGUCAAUGGAGGCAACUCUGAACCAGCCAUGCCGCGUGCAGGAAGACAGCCCUCUGGGUCGUAAACUGCUUUUAUUCGGGAAUAAACCUCAUUAUGUAUAGUGAGCUGAAUGUACCGAAGGAAUAAGGAUCGGCUAACUCCGUGCCAGCAGCCGCGGUAAUACGGAGGAUCCAAGCGUUAUCCGGAUUUAUUGGGUUUAAAGGGUGCGUAGGCGGCUUUUUAAGUCAGGGGUGAAAGACGGUAGCUCAACUAUCGCAGUGCCCUUGAUACUGAAGAGCUUGAAUGGACUAGAGGUAGGCGGAAUGUGACAAGUAGCGGUGAAAUGCAUAGAUAUGUCACAGAACACCGAUUGCGAAGGCAGCUUACUAUGGUUUUAUUGUACGCUGAGGCACGAAAGCGUGGGGAUCAAACAGGAUUAGAUACCCUGGUAGUCCACGCCCUAAACGAUGAAUACUCGCUGUUAGCGAUACACAGUUAGCGGCUAAGCGAAAGCGUUAAGUAUUCCACCUGGGAAGUACGGUCGCAAGAUUGAAACUCAAGGAUUGACGG